UGGCGGCGUGCCUAAUACAUGCAAGUCGAGCGAACAGAUGAGAAGCUUGCUUCUCUGAUGUUAGCGGCGGACGGGUGAGUAACACGUGGGUAACCUACCUAUAAGACUGGGAUAACUCCGGGAAACCGGGGCUAAUACCGGAUAAUAUUUUGAACCGCAUGGUUCAAUAGUGAAAGACGGUUUCGGCUGUCACUUAUAGAUGGACCCGCGCCGUAUUAGCUAGUUGGUAAGGUAAUGGCUACCAAGGCGACGAUACGUAGCCGACCUGAGAGGGUGAUCGGCCACACUGGAACUGAGACACGGUCCAGACUCCUACGGGAGGCAGCAGUAGGGAAUCUUCCGCAAUGGGCGAAAGCCUGACGGAGCAACGCCGCGUGAGUGAUGAAGGUCUUCGGAUCGUAAAACUCUGUUGUUAGGGAAGAACAAAUUUGUUAGUAACUGAACAAGUCUUGGCGGUACCUAACCAGAAAGCCACGGCUAACUACGUGCCAGCAGCCGCGGUAAUACGUAGGUGGCAAGCGUUAUUCGGAAUUAUUGGGCGUAAAGCGCGCGUAGGCGGUUUCUUAAGUCUGAUGUGAAAGCCCACGGCUCAACCGUGGAGGGUCAUUGGAAACUGGGAAACUUGAGUGCAGAAGAGGAGAGUGGAAUUCCAUGUGUAGCGGUGAAAUGCGCAGAGAUAUGGAGGAACACCAGUGGCGAAGGCGGCUCUCUGGUCUGUAACUGACGCUGAUGUGCGAAAGCGUGGGGAUCAAACAGGAUUAGAUACCCUGGUAGUCCACGCCGUAAACGAUGAGUGCUAAGUGUUAGGGGGUCUCCGCCCCUUAGUGCUGCAGCUAACGCAUUAAGCACUCCGCCUGGGGAGUACGACCGCAAGGUUGAAACUCAAAUGAAUUGACGG
rnacentral:rRNA from 1 species